UCAGAGGAAUCAUGGGAAGUUAACUGGCUUAGACCAAACUUUUUAGAACAAGAAUCCUCAGACUUUUUGUUGUUUCCUCAUACCAGGUCAAUGCCUCAAGCUGCGCGGAUAGACGGGGCACAUUUGUGUCUUUGACUCCCUUUUCACCCACCACACAGGAGGUGAAGGUUGGAUCAGAGCUCUGAUUUGUCUGCCAUACAUUCAGACACUUCAGGUAAAGAGAGAAAAAUUGCCUACUGUAGUGCCACUUCAGUAACUUGACCGGGCCCGGCCUUCGCUCUGCGUGCAUUGAAUGAGUUUGGCAGCAGCUGGGCUCCCGUUGAUGAUGAGCUGGAGAGAGGACAGUAGAGAAAGACGCCCCUGAUUCUGCAUGAGGAGAGCACAUUUGAAAAGCUUUUAUGACCUGGCUACUGCGUCACAUCAACUGCUAGAAGAACGUACACAAAAAUAAGGCUGAACCCGGCUGAUCUGUUCAAUCACCCAGGAGCGCUGAGGCAGGACCCUGUAAAAGGAGUUCGGACCGAAAGAUCACACGUUUGGAAAAAUCUGACUUCCAGCCAGGAGACGGAUUUGACUCAUCAUGAUCAGAUAAAGUGAAAAUACUCAAAGCUGAGGCCGAUGUCGGGGCGGAGCAAAGACCUAACGGAGGUACUGGAUGCCUGCACGUCUCGUGGACCCUCACUGCUGGAGCUGUUGCAUAACAUGAAAGUCUUUAAGAACUGCACUCUGCAGACUGCUACAGAGCAACAAGACUUUAACACACAAUUCAGGGUAAAGAAGGCCAGAGAUGGCUUAGUGGUUCCUGGCUUUGCAACUACAUUGCUUGCCUGAGUGAAAGAAAGGCCACCCAAAAGAGAAAAAGACAGAGAGAGAGAAGAAGGAUAAAACAGCACUAGCUUACCUCUAGGUUCCUCCCAAAAUUGCUAUGGGUUGCCAAAAUAAGAUGUUCCCAUACAUCUAAACUGCAUUCUCAAUUGCAUUUUGAGGGAAAAGAAUAUUCUCCGCCGGAUUAUGUUUGUUUCAACCCGUCCUUGUACCAGCGACAGGCGCACGGUGUGAAACGUUUGCAGUUUUAAACAUGUGCUUAGCAUUGUGAAUUGAAACAAAAUAACUUAGGUUAGGUUAAGGAAAAGAUCAUGGUUUGGGUUACGCUUGUCAAAAAGAAAUCUGGGUUAUUCAAAAGUAGACAGGGCUGUUCUGUAAGGCGUGGUUUCUAUUACUUGAAAUUGUAUUGACAGCUAUUACUUUUCAUCACUAUUAUUGUCCUUAACUUUUGACGUCCAAAAUGUAGAACUUUAUCAGAUGGCAUUACAGUUUUUACAUUUUACCUCAGUCUGAAGUACCAUCUUAAGUAUCUUUGUUAGUCAGCCCGGCAAGUUUCUUCGCUAUUGCAAUGUCUAAUUAUUUAGUUUGAGCAGGCUUGAUCUUUUUAAUGCAAGUAAAUAUGCCAGUCAAAACGUUAGCAAUGCAAUAAAAUAACUGAAGCUUUUCAAAAUAUGUGACCAUCUUCUAAUAUGUGACCUAUGCUGAUUCUAUGUUUUUGAAUUAUUAACUGUCACAAAAAAAAAUACUUUUCCAAUGUUUUUUUUCUUUUUUACAUUAGAUGAAUCAAAUUUCUUGGAUAUUGAUCAAUUCAAAGUCACAAUUACAACAAAUCACAACCCAUUGAGAUGACCCUAAUGAUGUCAUCAUGGUCACCUUGGCUUAUCUUGGGACAAUUUUUUUUAAGGGCAGCCUACAUUACAAACAGGAGCUGUAGGGUUUGACAGAGGACGGGUCUUAUUAAGAUGCAAAUUAGUCUCAUUAUGGAAAAUGUAGGAUGCAGGGUUUUUGGAGCUUGAUGCUAAGGCUCAUACUAAGGACUAAAUUAAGAAAAUAUCGGCCUCUGCUGAUUCGAUUUUGAUCAUUUAAAAAAAUAAAUGUCUCUCGUGAGUUCCCUAACUUCAUAGAAGUGCAAUUCAAAAUUGCCGGA